rnacentral:ncRNA from 1 species
GUUUGGUCCUAGCUUUACCCUCAACUAUUACUUAACUUACACAUGCAAGUAUCCGCACACCCGUGAAAACGCCCUCAUCCCUCCAACAAGAAAAGGAGCCGGUAUCAGGCACAAACAUUUUUGCCCAUAACACCUAGCCACGCCACACCCCCAAGGGCAUUCAGCAGUGACAGACAUUGCCCAUUAGCGCCAGCUUGACCCAGUCAAAGUAAAACAGAGCCGGCCAAUUCGGUGCCAGCCGCCGCGGCUACCCCGCUUGGCUCAAGUUGACACCAUCGGCGUCAAGCGUGAUUAAAGUAACACCAGACAUUAGAAUCAAACCCAACCCAAGUUGUGAUACACUUGCCUAAAAGAAGCCCCCAAACGAAAGUUAUUCUAACAUACUUGAACCCACGACAGUUGGGACACAAACUGGGAUCAGAUACCCCACUAUGCCCAACCGUAAAACAUCUACCCACACCCACAACCGCCAGGGAAUUACGAGCCACCUUAAAACCCAAAGGACUUGACGGUAUCCCACCCACCUAGAGGAGCCUGUUCUUUAAUCGACACCCCCCGAUACACCUCACCGCCCCUAGCACACUCAGUCUGUAUACCUCCGUCGCAAGCCUACCCUGUGAACGCCACUAGUGGGCCCAAAGAUUUAUCAUCAAUACGCCAGGUCAAGGUGCAACUAACGGGACGGAAAGCAAUGGGCUACAAUUUCUACAAUAGAACACACAAAAAUCACAUGAAACAAGACUACUAAAGGAGGAUUUAGCAGUAAAAAGAAAAUAGAGAGUUCUUUUUAAUUGGGCACUGGGAUGCGUACACACCGCCCGUCACCCUCUUCAAGUACCCACACAAGAAGAGGCAAGUCGUAACAUGGUAAGCGUACUGGAAAGUGCACUUGGACAUCAAAAUGUAACUUAACAUAAAGUGUCUCGCUUACACCAAGACAGAUGUCAAUGAACCAGACCAUUUUGAGCCAAAAUCCAAGCCCCCCAACCAACCCACCACUAAAACGAAACAAUAAAACAUUUUUUCUAUUAAGUAACGGCGAUUAAAAAAUAAAUAAGAGCUAUAAAAAAAGUACCGCAAGGGAAACAUGAAAUAAAAAUAAAACACACAAGCACAACACAGCAAAGAUUAAAUCUUGUACCUUUUGCAUCAUGGUCUAGCUAGUUUAACCAAGCAAAACGCACUUAAAGUUUGACCCCCCGAAACUUAAGCGAGCUACUUUACAACAGCCCAUAGAGCCAACCCGUCCCUGUUACAAAAGGGUGGGAAGAUUUUAAAGUAGCGGUGACACACCCAUCGAGCCUAGAGAUAGCUGGUUAUUCAGAAAAAGGAUUUAAGUCCAACUUUAAGCCCACCCCACGUAACACUAAACACACCAACAACUUAAAAGCCAUUCAAAUGGGGUACAGCCCACUUGAACAAGGAAACAGCCUACAACACCGGGUAACGACCAACACACGUGACAAAGUAGGCCUAAAAGCAGCCAACUUCCAAAAAGCGUCCAAGCUUCUCCACCAACCAUUCCCAAUCCCACCAUUAAAACACAACCCACACCCAAUACUGAAUGAUCCCAUACCCCCCCCCCCCCCCACAUGAGAGUCAUCAUGCUAGAACUAGUAACAAGAAGCAAAGAGCUUCUCCAAAAAUGUAAGCAUAAGCCAAAAUGAACCCAUCACCGGCACCCACCGCCACCCCGCAGUACCACCUCCCCCAAGAAAAACCUACUGCACCAAGCGUCAACCUUACACCAGAACAUUACUGGAAAGAUUAAAAAGAAGAGGAAGGAACUAGGCAAACACCAGCCCCGCCUGUUUACCAAAAACAUCGCCUCUUGACACUCAUAAGAGGUCCAGCCUGCCCAGUGACGAUAGUUAAACGGCCGCGGUACCCUAACCGUGCAAAGGUAGCACAACCACUUGUUCUUUAAAUCAGGACUAGUAUGAACGGCCCCACGAGAGCUAUACUGUCUCCCUCCCUUAAUCAGUGAAACUGAUCCCCUCGUGAAGAAGCGAGCAUAAUCCCAUAAGACGAGAAGACCCCAUGGAACUUUAAACUCGUACCACUGCCUCUUACAUACCACACCACCUAAGGCACCAUGACUACAAGUCUUUCGGCUGGGGCGACCACGGAGAAAAAUAAAACCUCCACGAUGAAAAACUACCCCCCCCCAAUCCCAGAGAAACUUCUCCAAGAAUCAACAAAUUGACAUACUGACCCAAAAACCUUGAUCAACGAACCAAGCUACCCUGGGGAUAACAGCGCAAUCCAUUUCAAGAGACCCCAUCGACAAAUGGGCUUACGACCUCGAUGUUGGAUCAGGGUAUCCUGGUGGUGCAGCCGCUA